rnacentral:rRNA from 1 species
GCGCACGGGUGCGUAACGCGUAUGCAACCUACCCUAUACAGAGGGAUAGCCCGUAUAAAUUCGGAUUAAUACCUCAUGGUAAUAAGAUAUGGCAUCAUAUUUUGUCUAAAGAAUUUUGGUAUAGGAUGGGCAUGCGUACCAUUAGCUAGUUGGAGAGGUAACGGCUCACCAAGGCGAUGAUGGUUAGGGGUUCUGAGAGGAAGAUCCCCCACACUGGUACUGAGACACGGACCAGACUCCUACGGGAGGCAGCAGUAAGGAAUAUUGGUCAAUGGGCGGAAGCCUGAACCAUCCUUUUCCGCGUGAAGGAAGACUGCCCUAUGGGUUGUAAACUUCUUUUAACAGAGGAUAAAGUCGCGUAUGUAUACGCGUUUGCAGGUAUCUGUUGAAUAAGGACCGGCUAACUCCGUGCCAGCAGCCGCGGUAAUACGGAGGGUCCGAGCGUUAUCCGGAUUUAUUGGGUUUAAAGGGUGCGCAGGCGGAUUAAUAAGUCAGCGGUGAAAUUCCACAGCUCAACUGUGGCGCUGCCGUUGAUACUGUUAGUCUUGAGUAUGCUUGAGGUAGGCGGAAUGUAGUGUGUAGCGUUGAAAUGCAUAGAUAUGCUACAGAACACCAAUUGCGAAGGCAGCUUUACCAAAUCAAUACUGACGCUCAUGCACGAAAGCGUGGGGAAUCAAACAGGAUUAGAUACCCUGCUAGUCCACGCUGUAA